AAUUCGGUAGUUUGUCUCAAUUCCUUUGGUUUGUUAUAAUCUCAUGCUUAGAACCUGUAGUGUAGAAAAUAGUCUAAAUUUGUGUUUCCAAUUUCUAAAUACAUGCUUAGUUGAAAUUUUGUUGUGGUUAGCUAUUUAGUUGGUGUAAACACGAUUGGGAAAGUCUCGAGUACCCAAAAUAGAGCCUUGAACUGAUUAAAUUGAAGUGU
rnacentral:lncRNA from 1 species